UUGGUUUCAAUGAACUGUGAAAAAGAUGCUGAUGUAAAAUAUAUCUUGCAGAUAAAAGUGAUGGUGGUAUAAUUCUUGUUGGGGAUUUUUUCAAAGCAGCAAAAAAAGCCUGUUCUGGGGAUGGUAACAUCAACAUGCCCUUCCUGUGUUUGGACUUGACCUAUAUCAGCUCUUUACUUCAUGAUGGUUUUCAAUUUGAUUUAAACAAGGAGAUAACUCUUGUUAAGAAGAUCAACACAUUUGAAACAAGCUGGGGACUUGGAGCAGCCUUCAGUCUACUAGCCUAGAUCGAAGCAUCGUUUUUACCAUGGACUGUACCAAAUUCGAAACUUUACUGAUUUGAAUUGUGAUCUUUACUGUGUACUAUAGCAAAUUAAAAACUAUAACAGAAACUUUUUUUAUUUGUUAGUGUCACACUUUAAAAUACCUUGAGGUUAUCAAACGGCUACUAACGAUUUUUUUAUAAAAGGAAUAUGUAAGUAAAUAAUAUAUUAUUUUGUAAGUGUAAGUGUACUGUGAAACUUAUUUAAAUGUCUUACUUAAAGCAAAAACCAUAAGAGAAUUACAAAUAAUUGUGGAAACAAGUUAAACUAUACAGAACAAGAAAGAAAUGUUACUCUUUAAUGUCCACCCAAUGAACAUAUUUCAAUGGCUGUAUAGACCAGAUUUUGAUUUGAAAUAUAUAUAUAUAUAUAUAUAUUGUAAAUAAAAUUGUAAAUAUCUUAAAUUCUGAAGGAUGCUAAAGAAAUUUCUCCCUAGGUUAACUCAUGGAUAAAAUAGUUAUAGUUUAGUAACCGAAAAAAAUUUCUUAGUUGAAAGUUUUUCUGUUUCUAUUUUAAUAAAAUGGACACCAGGUUUCAAGUAUGCCAAUGUUGAAAAUGAACAUAGCAGUAAUACUUAAGAAAAUACAGUUAAGUUUAAAUAAAAGUUGUCACAAUUUUAUUGAAUCUUUUACAGUAUUACUUCUUAAUGUAUGUUACCUAAAUCCAAAGAAAACCUUUUCCUGCUUUGUGUCUUUAGAUCUUCCUAUAUGUGCUAUUUAUUUUUUUGUAGUUAGGGAAAACUUUUCUGCUUGCUUACUCAGUAAGACUGAAAUAAAGGUAUUAUUUUAUUAAUUA